UACGGAGGGUGCAAGCGUUAUCCGGAUUUACUGGGUUUAAAGGGUGCGCAGGCGGAUAUGUAAGUCAGUGGUGAAAUCUCCGGGCUUAACCCGGAACUGCCGUUGAUACUAUAUAUCUUGAAUGCUGUGGAGGUAAGCAGAAUAUGUCAUGUAGCGGUGAAAUGCUUAGAGAUGACAUAGAAUACCUAUUGCGAAGGCGCUUACUACGCAGAUAUUGACGCUCAUGCACGAAAGCGUGGGGAUCAAACAGG
rnacentral:rRNA from 1 species